rnacentral:misc_RNA from 1 species
AACGCACCUUGCGCCCUUUGGCUAUUCCGAAGGGCAUGCCUGUUUGAGUAUCAUGAACACCUCAACUCUCAUGGUUUGCCAUGAUGAGCUUGGACUUUGGAGGUCUUGCUGGCCAGCGGUCGGCUCCUCUCAAAUGAAUCAGCUUGCCAGUGUUUGGCGGCGCCACAGGUGUGAUAACUAUCUGCGCUUGUGGUUUCCCACCAGGUUUCCUUCAGUGAUGGAGGUUCGCUGGAGCUCAUAAAUGUCCCUCCCCAGUGAGGACAACUUCAUGAAUGUUUGAUCUCAAAUCAGGUAGGACUACCCGCUGAACUUAA